CCUACGGGAGGCAGCAGCCGCGGUAAUACGUAGGGGGCAAGCGUUAUCCGGAUUUACUGGGUGUAAAGGGAGCGUAGACGGCUGCGCAAGUCAGAAGUGAAAGCCCGGGGCUCAACCGCGGGACUGCUUUUGAAACUGUGUAGCUAGAGUGCAGGAGAGGUAAGUGGAAUUCCUAGUGUAGCGGUGAAAUGCGUAGAUAUUAGGAGGAACACCGGUGGCGAAGGCGGCUUACUGGACUGUAACUGACGUUGAGGCUCGAAAGCGUGGGGAGCAAACAGGAUUAGAAACCCGAGUAGUCCAUGAGA
rnacentral:rRNA from 1 species